UUUCCUGUAGCUAAGCGGUAAAGCUCCCAAAUCAAAAUUGGUUGAUUUCUGGUUCGAAUCCAGACGGGCGACCCA
rnacentral:tRNA from 1 species